GUCGAACGGCAGCACAGGAGAGCUUGCUACUCCUGGGUGGCGAGUGGCGGACGGGUGAGGAAUACAUCGGAAUCUACUUUUUCGUGGGGGAUAACGUAGGGAAACUUACGCUAAUACCGCAUACGACCUACGGGUGAAAGCAGGGGACCUUCGGGCCUUGCGCGAUUGAAUGAGCCGAUGUCGGAUUAGCUAGUUGGCGGGGUAAAGGCCCACCAAGGCGACGAUCCGUAGCUGGUCUGGAGAGGAUGAUCAGCCACACUGGAACUGAGACACGGUCCAGACUCCUACGGGAGGCAGCAGUGGGGAAUAUUGGACAAUGG
rnacentral:rRNA from 1 species